rnacentral:sRNA from 2 species
AUAUAGCCAGCGCUGAAUUCUAUGGAAGCGGGGGAACCAAGUCCGGCUAUCGAUUAGCCAAAUGGGGUGAAUCACCGAAAGGUGACGGGUAAAUUCCUUUCAAUCCGAACCCGACAGCUAACCUCGUAAGCGUUGAAAGGGGGCAAA